GCUUGUCUCAAAGAUUAAGCCAUGCAUGUAUAAGUAUAAACGCUUUAAGCGUGAAACCGCGAACGGCUCAUUACAACAGCUAUAAUUUACUUGAUCUUGACAAACUUACAUGGAUAACUGAGGUAAUUCUUGAGCUAAUACAUGCACCAAAGCUUUGACCGUAAGGGAAGAGCGCAUUUAUUGGAACAAAACCAAACGGCUUCGGCUGUUCCCAGUUGAAUCAGAAUAACUCAGCUGAUCGUACGGUCUUGCACCGACGACGUGUCUUUCAAGUAUCUGCUUUAUCAACUUUCGAUGGUAGGGUAUCUGCCUACCAUGGUGGUGACGGAUAACGGAGGAUCAGGGUUCGACUCCGGAGAAGGGGCCUGAGAAAUGGCCACUACGUCUAAGGAUGGCAGCAGGCGCGCAAAUUACCCACUCUCAGAAUUUGGAGGAGGUAGUGACGAGAAAUAACGAGGUUGAUCUCUUCUGAGGCCAACCAUCGGAAUGGGUACAAUUUAAACCCUUUAACGAGUAUCUAUGAGAGGGCAAGUCUGGUGCCAGCAGCCGCGGUAAUUCCAGCUCUCAAAAUGCAUAGAAUUAUUGCUGCGGUUAAAAAGCUCGUAGUUGGGUCUGCAGCCGGAGCUCCGGUCCAUCUUCGGAUGUGUACUGGAUGUCUUCGGCUUUCUGACAGUGUUCGGCUCUGUGCCUCUCAACAGGUGUGGAUGUCCGAUACUGUAAGUUUACUUUGAAUAAAUCAGAGUGCUCUAAACAGGCGUUUUGCUUGAAUGAUUGUGCAUGGAAUAAUAGAAGAGGAUUUCGGUUCUAUUUUAUUGGUUUUAUAGACUGAGAUAAUGGUUAACAGAGACAAACGGGGGCAUUUGUAUGGCUACGUGAGAGGUGAAAUUCUUGGACC
rnacentral:rRNA from 1 species